GGAUCUAGCCUGGAACAUUCCUGUCACCACAGACAUUCCAGUUUUCUCAUGGGAGCCACAGGGGAUUCGCAUACAUAGCAGCAAUCCUCGCACCCACCGUCAAUGGGUUUCUCCUCAAUCAGUUGUCCAAGACUGGGCAAAGGAGAGGAAACUCACUCAUCUAUGAAGUUAUUCCACCUUGAUAUGAUGGAGAGUCACCGGGCACCUUCCUUCACAAAUGAGAAG